rnacentral:tRNA from 1 species
GCUCAGCUGGGAGAGCGCGUGCUUUGCAAGCAUGAGGUCGUCGGUUCGAUCCCGUCUGGCUCCACCA